rnacentral:rRNA from 1 species
UGGGGAAUAUUGGGGCAAUGGGGAAAGCCCAUGACCCAGCAACGCCGCGUGAAGGAAGAAGGGCAUUUCGGGGUUUGGUUAAACAUUCUUUUAUCCACGGGAGCGAAGGACGUGACGGUACCUGGAGAAAAAGCAACGGCUAACUACGUGCCAGCAGCCGCGGUAAUACGUAGGUUGCAAGCGUUGUCCGGAUUUACUGGGUGUAAAGGGCGUGUAGGCGGAGAAGCAAGUUGGGAGUGAAAUCCAUGGGCUCAACCCAUGAACUGCUCUCAAAACUGUUUCCCUUGAGUAUCGGAGAGGCAAGCGGAAUUCCUAGUGUAGCGGUGAAAUGCGUAGAUAUUAGGAGGAACACCAGUGGCGAAGGCGACUUGCUGGACGACAACUGACGCUGAGGCGCGAAAGCGUGGGGAGCAAACAGGAUUAGAUACC